AAACUAAUUUAAUUUGGCGGCAUCCAAUCUAAUUAGAGGAAUUUGUCCUUUAAUCGACAAUCCACGAUAAACUUCACUUAAUUAUAAAAUUUAUAUACCGCCAUCUCAAGAAUUAAUUAAAAAAUAUUUCUCUAAAAAAAUAAUAAAAAGUUAGGUCAAGGUGUAAUCAACAUUUAAGAAUGAGAUGAAUUACAUUAAACAUAAUUUCAAGAUUAUAAAUAAAAUAUUUAUAUAAAUUAGGAUUUAUAAGUAAUACAAUAAUAAUAAUUUAAUAUGAUAAAGAUAGUAAAUGUGCACACAUCGCCC
rnacentral:rRNA from 1 species